rnacentral:rRNA from 2 species
UGCAGUCGAACGAUGAAGGAGGAGCUUGCUCCUGCGGAUUAGUGGCGAACGGGUGAGUAAUACGUGAGCAAUGUGCCCUUGACUCUGGGAUAAGCGCUGGAAACGGCGUCUAAUACCGGAUACGACCCUCGGAGGCAUCUCCUGAUGGUGGAAAGAACUUCGGUCAAGGAUCAGCUCACGGCCUAUCAGCUAGUUGGUGAGGUAACGGCUCACCAAGGCGACGACGGGUAGCCGGCCUGAGAGGGUGACCGGCCACACUGGGACUGAGACACGGCCCAGACUCCUACGGGAGGCAGCAGUGGGGAAUAUUGCACAAUGGGCGCAAGCCUGAUGCAGCAACGCCGCGUGAGGGACGAAGGCCUUCGGGUUGUAAACCUCUUUUAGCAGGGAAGAAGCGAAAGUGACGGUACCUGCAGAAAAAGCACCGGCUAACUACGUGCCAGCAGCCGCGGUAAUACGUAGGGUGCAAGCGUUGUCCGGAAUUAUUGGGCGUAAAGAGCUCGUAGGCGGUUUGUCGCGUCUGCUGUGAAAACCCGAGGCUCAACCUCGGGCUUGCAGUGGGUACGGGCAGACUAGAGUGCGGUAGGGGAGAUUGGAAUUCCUGGUGUAGCGGUGGAAUGCGCAGAUAUCAGGAGGAACACCGAUGGCGAAGGCAGAUCUCUGGGCCGUAACUGACGCUGAGGAGCGAAAGCAUGGGGAGCAAACAGGCUUAGAUACCCUGGUAGUCCAUGCCGUAAACGUUGGGAACUAGAUGUGGGGACCAUUCCACGGUCUCCGUGUCGUAGCUAACGCA